rnacentral:misc_RNA from 1 species
GGAAGGAUCAUUAUCGAGUGUCAUCAGGUAAUGCUGAUACCUCCAUCCUAUGUUUUAAAUUGAAUUGUGCACAGGCAGAGCGUCAUAUAUAUAUGCUGCUGAUUUUUUUAGCAAGUCUCUGCCACAUUAACCUAAAAUAUUGAACGUUUUCAACCUUAUUUAAAUUAAAAUUAAAAACUUUCAACAACGGAUCUCUUGGCUCUGGCAUCGAUGAAGAACGCAGCGAAUUGCGAUAAGUAAUGUGAAUUGCAGAAUUAGUGAAUCAUCGAAUCUUUGAACGCACAUUGCACCUUGAGGGUACGUCUCUCAAGGUAUAUCUGUUCGAGCGCUAGUAACAUUGUAAGGUUAUACCUUGUGUUGAAUACAUCAAUAAUAUGAUGUAUCGAAAUUCAUUGGCGUAUUAUAUUUGGCCACGAUCACAGCAAUAUGUGGAAGUGUUAAAUGUAAUAUAGUCUAAAAUAUUUUACAUCAAUAUUGGCCUCGGAUCAGAUAAGGAUACCCGCUGAACUUAAGCAUAUCAAUAAGCGGAGGAAAAGAAACCAACAGGGAUUGCCUUAGUAACGGCGAGUGAAGCGGCAAAAGCUCAAAUUUGAAAUCUGAUCACCUUUGGGGUUUAGAAUUGUAAUUUGUAGAGGAAUGUUCGACCUAAUAUCUUGAUUCAAGUCUUCUGGAACGAAGCACCUUGGAGGGUGAUAGUCCCGUACGAUCAUAGAUAUUGGUUAUGUGAACUUCCUUCAAAGAGUCGGGUUGUUUGGGAAUGCAGCUCUAAAUGGGUGGUAAAUUCCAUCUAAAGCUAAAUAUAGGCCAGAGACCGAUAGCGAAGCAAGUAGAGUGAUCGAAAGAUGAAAAGCACUUUGGAAAGAGAGUGAAAUAGUACGUGAAAUUGUUGAAAGGGAAGCGCUUACAAUCAGACUUGAGUAUACUGGUUCAGGCUUACUUUUUAGUAUGUCUUAUUCCAAUAUAUCCAAGCCAACAUCAAUUUGAACAACUUCAUAAAAGCAUUUCUUUCUGUUCUUCUGAACUUAAAGGCAUGUGUAAUAAAGUUAGUUUGGAUUGAGGUAUGCAUUUUAUGGAUGUUGGCAUAAUGGUUGUCAGCGGCCCGUCUUGAAACACGGACCAAGGAGUUGUCCUUCCAUGCGAGUAUUUGAGUGUUAAACUCAUAUGCGUAAUGAAAGUGAAUGGAGGUGAGAAUCUUCGGAUGCAUCAUCGACCGAUGGAUAGUUUACUUGAAGUUUGAGUAAGAGCAUGGUGGGCCAGACCCGAAAGGUAGUGAGCUUUAUAUGGAUAGGGUGAAGCCUGAGGAAACUCUGGUGGAAGCUCGCAGCGGUUCUGACGUGCAAAUCGAUCGUCAAAUCUGUAUAAAGGGGCGAAAGACUUAUCGAACUACCUAGUAGCUGGUUCCUGU